UCGGAUAUGGUGUAAUGGCUAACAUUGCCGCCUCUCAUAAUUUGAGUGAGUGGGUCGUCUUCGCGGCAGCUCGGGGUUCGAUUCCCCGUAUCCGAG